CUGUAUGUCUGAUGCUUUUUUGAGGAGAAUUCUUACAUACCCUCGUGCAACUACCAGAAUUCACUGCUUCACCAUACCAGCAAGUACUUUGGGCAAGGUUUUGUCACUGAGCUUUGCUGAAAGCUAUCUGAAGGGCACCGCAAUUAAUGUGUGACAGUUUUAACAUGUGGCAAAGGAAGCUGUCCUGAAAGAAGUUUGAUCUGUGUUGCACCGUGCGUGGUGGUUGUGAGCCAUCUUCUAAAUGAACACGAAGCACUGAGAAAGGAAACUGAUGAUGGAGGAAA